rnacentral:rRNA from 1 species
AUCCGGGCCGGGGAAUUCAGUUCGGCCGCGGCAUUCCGUGUCGAGUCGUUCGCCAUUUCCCCGGUCAAUGAAACACGGACGUCGCGACCUGUUCGUCGUCGGUCGAGGAGUCGCGAUCGAGUUCGUUGUAUUCGGGCGUUUACGCGUCCGGUGCGGCGAAGUCGCGAAUUUCCGGCCGACCGGCGGACAGUAUGCCAACAGUGACCGGGUGCUGCUUCGCGGUACUCGGUGCUGGUCGGCGACGAAUUCUUCGGGUCUCUUUCCGACCCGUCUUGAAACACGGACCAAGGAGUCUAACGCGCGCGCGAGUCGCGGGGUGUCGAGCGUACUUCGGUGCGCUCGUUACAACGCGAAACCCGUAUACGUUGAAGGCGUAAUGAAAGUGAACGGGGAAGAUGACGUCUCGAGUACACGUUCCACGGUCGUUGGUACUGUGGCCGAGCGUCCGCAUUCCCGGGGCAUCUCAUCAGUCCAUCGCGAACGCGGAUAGUCGUCUUUCGGGGCGGCUGUCGGUUUGCGAUGAACCGA